CUGGCGGCGUGCCUAAUACAUGCAAGUAGAACUCUGAAGAGAGGAGCUUGCUCUUCUUGGAUGAGUUGCGAACGGGUGAGUAACGCGUAGGUAACCUGCCUUGUAGCGGGGGAUAACUAUUGGAAACGAUAGCUAAUACCGCAUAACAAUGGAUGACACAUGUCAUUUAUUUGAAAGGGGCAAUUGCUCCACUACAAGAUGGACCUGCGUUGUAUUAGCUAGUAGGUGAGGUAAUGGCUCACCUAGGCGACGAUACAUAGCCGACCUGAGAGGGUGAUCGGCCACACUGGGACUGAGACACGGCCCAGACUCCUACGGGAGGCAGCAGUAGGGAAUCUUCGGCAAUGGGGGCAACCCUGACCGAGCAACGCCGCGUGAGUGAAGAAGGUUUUCGGAUCGUAAAGCUCUGUUGUAAGUCAAGAACGGGUGUGAGAGUGGAAAGUUCACACUAUGACGGUAGCUUACCAGAAAGGGACGGCUAACUACGUGCCAGCAGCCGCGGUAAUACGUAGGUCCCGAGCGUUGUCCGGAUUUAUUGGGCGUAAAGCGAGCGCAGGCGGUUUGAUAAGUCUGAAGUUAAAGGCUGUGGCUCAACCAUAGUUCGCUUUGGAAACUGUCAAACUUGAGUGCAGAAGGGGAGAGUGGAAUUCCAUGUGUAGCGGUGAAAUGCGUAGAUAUAUGGAGGAACACCGGUGGCGAAAGCGGCUCUCUGGUCUGUAACUGACGCUGAGGCUCGAAAGCGUGGGGAGCGAACAGGAUUAGAUACCCUGGUAGUCCACGCCGUAAACGAUGAGUGCUAGGUGUUGGAUCCUUUCCGGGAUUCAGUGCCGCAGCUAACGCAUUAAGCACUCCGCCUGGGGAGUACGACCGCAAGGUUGAAACUCAAAGGAAUUGACGGGGGCCCGCACAAGCGGUGGAGCAUGUGGUUUAAUUUGAAGCAACGCGAAGAACCUUACCAGGUCUUGACAUCCCGAUGCUAUUUCUAGAGAUAGAAAGUUACUUCGGUACAUCGGUGACAGGUGGUGCAUGGUUGUUGUCAGUUCGUGUCGUGAGAUGUUGGGUUAAGUCCCGCAACGAGCGCAACCCCUAUUGUUAGUUGCCAUCAUUCAGUUGGGCACUCUAGCGAGACUGCCGGUAAUAAACCGGAGGAAGGUGGGGAUGACGUCAAAUCAUCAUGCCCCUUAUGACCUGGGCUACACACGUGCUACAAUGUGUUGGUACAACGAGUUGCGAGUCGGUGACGGCGAGCUAAUCUCUUAAAGCCAAUCUCAGUUCGGAUUGUAGGUUGCAACUCGCCUACAUGAAGUCGGAAUCGAUAGUAAUCGCGGAUCAGCACGCCGCGGUGAAUACGUUCCCGGGCCUUGUACACACCGCCCGUCACACCACGAGAGUUUGUAACACCCGAAGUCGGUGAGGUAACCUUUUGGAGCCAGCCGCUUAAGGUGGGACAGAUGAUUG
rnacentral:rRNA from 1 species